rnacentral:rRNA from 1 species
UCAUGAACAUAGUGGCGUUCGCAUGAAGUAGCUAUCGAAAGGAGCAAAUCCGCUGAAGGAUGGGCCCGCGUCUGAUUAGUGUAGUUGGUGAGUGUAAGUGGCUCACCAAGCCUACGAUCAGUCACCCGGUCUGAGUAGGAUCGAAUCGGCCAACCACUGCAAGCUCGACGUACACAGGUCCAGACUCCUACGUGGAGGCAGCAGUGGGGAAUAUUGCUGCAAUGGGGGAAACCCUGANNGCAUGCAACGCCGCGUGGAGGAAGAAGGCCUUCGGGUUGUAAGACUCCUGUCAUUCUGGGACGAAAGAAAAUGGACGGUACCAAAUGAGGAAUGCCAUCGGCUAAUCUACUGUGCCAGAAGACCGCGGUGAAUACGUCAGGUGGGCGAGCGUUGUCCGGAAUUAUUGGGGCGGUAAAGGGCGCCGCUAGGGCUGGCCUUUGUCAAUGUCAGAUGUUGAAACCCCCGGGGGUUUAAAUUUGGGGGCAUGGCAUUUCGAAAGCUGGCAAGGGGUUGAUUGCCUGGAAGGUCAGGUCGGAAUUCCUUAAUUGUUACGGUGGAAAUUGCGUAAUCUUUAGGGAGGAACAACCAAUUGGUCGAAAA